ensembl:ncRNA C45B2.15 ncRNA
UUAUCCACGCCUUUUCCGUGUCUCGUGUCACCCGCCGUCUUUUGUCUCAAGUAUGUGUUUUGACUCGUUGAUCUUUUUUGACACGUACCCGUGGGUGUUUGCGGUACGCCGCCAGAACUCAGAAUUCGAAACAGAGAACUCACAUCAU